rnacentral:rRNA from 1 species
GAUGAACGCUGGCGGCGUGCCUAAUACAUGCAAGUCGAGCGAACAGAUGAGGAGUUUGCUCCCCGGACGAUUUCGGCGGACGGGAGAGUAACAUGUGGAUAACCUACCUUUACGACUGGGAAAACUUCGGGAAACUGGCGCAUAUAGCGGAAAAUAUAUUGAUGCGUAUGGUUCAAUAGAGAAAGACAGUUUUGCUGCCACCUAUAGAUGGAUCGGCGCGGCAUUAGCUAGUUGGUAAGGUAACGGACUACCAAGGCAACGAUGCGUGGCCGACCGGGGGGGGUGAUCGGCCACCCUGGAACGAGAACACGGCCCGAACUCCUACGGGAGGAGCAGGAAGGGAAUCUUCCGCAUUGGGCGAAGGCCUAACGGAGCAACGCGGCGUGGGUGAUGAGGGUUUUCGAAUCGUAAGACCUUGUUUUAGGGGAAAAACAAAUGUGGAAUGAACUGUGCACGUCUUGACGGUACCUAAUCAGAAAGCCACGGCUAACUACGUG